rnacentral:rRNA from 1 species
GCUCAAAUUUGAAAUCUUCAAGGUUUUACCUUGACGAAUUGUAGUUUAAAGAAGUGUUUUCUGUUGAAGUUUUGGUAAAAGUUCUUUGGAAUAGGACAUCAUAGAGGGUGAGAAUCCCGUAUUUGACCAUUAUUUUCAGCUGUGUGAUACACUUUCAAAGAGUCGGAUUGUUUGGGAAUGCAGUCCAAAAUGGGUGGUAAAUUUCAUCUAAAGCUAAAUAUUGGCGAGAGACCGAUAGCGAACAAGUACCGUGAGGGAAAGAUGAAAAGAACUUUGAAAAGAGAGUUAAACAGUACGUGAAAUUGUCAAAAGGGAAGCGUUUGACACCAGUGUUGUUUUCUCGAAAAUCAAUUAAAAAGAGUUGGAUUUUGUGUUGUAUUGACCUUAACAGCUUUCUUCACUCUUUUCCUGCUUUUUUUAAUGCACUUUUCAGUUAACAAG